UACGAAGGGGGGCUAGCGUUGCUCGGAAUCAUUGGGCGUAAAGCGCACGUAGGCGGUCUGUUAUGUCGGAUGUGAAAGCCCUCGGCUCAACUGAGGAAGUGCAUCCGAAACUGGCAGGCUAGAGUACUAAAGAGGGUCGCGGAAUUCCCGGUGUAGAGGUGAAAUUCGUAGAUAUCGGGAGGAACACCGGUGGCGAAGGCGGCGACCUGGGUAGAUACUGACGCUGAGGUGCGAAAGCGUGGGGAGCGAACAGG
rnacentral:rRNA from 1 species